ACGGCUACCACAUCUAAGGAAGGCAGCAGGCGCGUAAAUUACCCAAUCCUGACUCAGGGAGGUAGUGACAAGAAAUAGCAAACCGGGAACCUCAUGGUUUCACGGUAUUGCAAUGAGAACAAUUUAAAACCCUUAGCGAGAAUCAAGUGGAGGACAAGUCUGGUGCCAGCACCCGCGGUAAUUCCAGCUCCACUAGCGUAUAUUAAAGUUGUUGCAGUUAAAAAGCUCGUAGUUGAACCUCUGUCUGGGGCUAGUUUUGGCUUUGGUCAGGCUAGUUCUAGGCAUCCGCCUACAAGACUUAGAGGGCAUUCAGUUGUUCACUAGGAGGAGUAGGCAUUUUACUUUGAAAAAAUUAGAGUGUUUAAGGCAGGCAAUCGCCCGCAUAUAUUAGCAUGGAAUAAUAGAAUAGGACACUUUUCCAUUUCGUUGGUUAUUGGAAUCGUGUAAUGAUUAAUAGGGACAGUUGUGGGCAUUUGUAUUUAAUUGUCAGAGGUGAAAUUCUUGGAUUUAUUAAAGACAAACUAACGCGAAAGCAUUUGCCAAGGAUGUUUUCAUUAAUCAAGAACGAAAGUUAGGGGAUCAAAGACGAUCAGAUACCGUCCUAGUCUUAACUAUAAACUAUUCCGACUCAAUGUUUGACUGGCUUAUAUAACCAGUUGAGCGUUGUAUGAGAAAUCAAAGUCUUUAGGUUCUGGGGGGAGUAUGGUUGCAAAGCUGAAACUUAAAGGAAUUGACGGAAGAGCACAACCAGGAGUGGAUUCUGCGGCUUAAUUUGACUCAACACGGGGAAACUUACCAGGUUAAAACAAUAGUGGGAUUGACAGUUUGAGAGCGCUUUCUUGAUUGGUUGGGUGGUGGUGCAUGGCCGUUCUUAGUUGGUGGAGUGAUUUGUCUGCUUAAUUGCGUUAACGAACGAGACCUUAACCUGCUUACUAGACUGGCGAUCAUCAAUCGUUAGCUCUUCUUAGAGGGACUUUGGUUGUUUUAACUCCAAGGAAGUUUGAGGCAAUAACAGGUCUGUGAUGCCCUUAGAUAUCCUGGGCCGCACGCGUCAUACAAUGACUAGUUCAGAGAGUUUUCUCCUGACCCGAAAGGGGAUGGGUAAUCUUGAUAAUACUAGUCGUGUUAGGGAUCGAUCUUUGCAAUUAUAGAUCUUGAACGAGGAAUUCCUAGUAAGUGCGGUUCAUCAGACCGUACUGAUUACGUCCCUGCUCUUUGUACACACCGCCCGUCGCUUCUACCGAGUGGGUGGUCCGGUGAGAUAAUUGAACUUCGCAGGUAACUGAGAGGAAAGAUUAUCAAACCUAUCCACCUCGAGGAAGAAGAAGUCGUAACAAGGUU
rnacentral:rRNA from 1 species